AUUGAACGCUGGCGGUAGGCCUAACACAUGCAAGUCGAACGCGAAAGCCCUUCGGGAUGAGUAGAGUGGCGGACGGGUGAGUAACGCGUAGGAAUCUAUCCUGUAGUGGGGGGAUAACGUUUCGAAAGGAACGCUAAUACUGCAUACGCCCCAAGGGGGAAAGCGGGGGAUCUUCGGACCUCGUGCUAUAGGAGGAGCCUGCGUCGGAUUAGCUAGUUGGUGAGGUAAAGGCUCACCAAGGCGACGAUCCGUAGCUGGUCUGAGAGGAUGAUCAGCCACACCGGAACUGAGACACGGUCCGGACUCCUACGGGAGGCAGCAGUGGGGAAUAUUGCGCAAUGGGCGAAAGCCUGACGCAGCCAUACCGCGUGUGUGAAGAAGGCC
rnacentral:rRNA from 1 species